rnacentral:rRNA from 1 species
GACGAACGCUGGCGGCGUGCCUAAUACAUGCAAGUCGAGCGGACCGAACGGAAGCUUGCUUCUGUUCGGUUAGCGGCGGACGGGUGAGUAACACGUGGGUAACCUGCCCGUAAGACCGGGAUAACUCCGGGAAACCGGGGCUAAUGCCGGAUAACACCGAAGACCGCAUGGUCUUUGGUUGAAAGGUGGCUUUUGCUACCACUUACGGAUGGGCCCGCGGCGCAUUAGCUAGUUGGUGAGGUAACGGCUCACCAAGGCGACGAUGCGUAGCCGGCCGGAGAGGGGGAUCGGCCACACUGGGACUGAGACACGGCCCAGACUCCUACGGGAGGCAGCAGUAGGGAAUCUUCCGCAAUGGACGAAAGUCUGACGGAGCGACGCCGCGUGAGCGAAGAAGGUCUUCGGAUCGUAAAGCUCUGUUGUUAGGGAAGAAGAAGUACCGUUCGAAUAGGGCGGUACGGUGACGGUACCUAACGAGAAAGCCCCGGCUAACUACGUGCCAGCCGCCGCAGUAAAAC